AUCUGCCAGAAACGACUUGGAAACGUGCAAUCAGGACGCUGGCGUGCUCGAAAUAGCAGAUUGAGGACCUAAUAAAUAAAGUUACCAUCAAGUUUUUUUUGAAGGGAUAUCACCAAGGAUCGUUAUUACCAGACCCGUGACCGUGGUAGAAUGUAUAAUAUACACUUACUGAAGAUAAUCUCCAGUGAACUCCAUCGGAAGUCCAAGAUUUUAAGCAGCAAACAAGUCCCAGAACGCAAGCUGAAGAAUUUAGCACAUGGAGCUCCGUGCUCGAGUCCUUUAUCCUUCUUCAAGCUGAAGUCCUUUAUUUUGAGCAGAAAACAAGUCCCAGAGUGCAAUCUGAAGAAUUAUAGCA